AGAUUAUUCCCUUCCCCUCUGCAGCAUCCUUUCGCAGCAGUCUCAGGGCAGCGCUGAGCUGCUGUUCCUCAAUCUGCAUCACUUCCCUUAUUUCACUCUUGCAGUUCUUCAUGCUCCCUUCAUUUCCAGCCCUCUGAGAUCUUGCCCCCACAAAAUAUCCAUGAGGGAAUAAGAAGGGGGUUGAGACUGUGCUCUCAGCUUUCUAGGCAAUAGUCUGGUGCAUAUGGGUAGAAGAAAUUCUGCAGCCCUGCCUUGCUGUACAUUAGAGUGUAUCAGACCACCCAGUCCCUGUGUACAUGGUUAUUUAUUGAGAUGACUUUCCUUAUUAAAGAAACACUUAAUUCUCUUUUUUUUUUUUUUUUUUAAACUUAGCAGCAGGUGAUGCAGGAGAUAAAACUGGUUGGACACAGCCGUUGCUGAAAGGCCUGUUUUCCCAGGGAAGCCGGGGCAUGGGCUUACUUUCUUGCUCUUUCCCCUUGACUGCUAACUCACUCCUCACAAGGGAGCCUCAGUUCUGGUCCUGAAUUUUGGGUCUGUUGGGAGGUAGGCAAAGGACUGAGGCUGAUGCGGUUAACGAGCUGCAGUGCAAGUUCUGCAAAGCUGGGCUGGAAAGCCCUUCAGGAGGGACCUGAAAGUGAGAGGUAUAAAACAGACAGAAGAGGAAAAGGGAAUCUGCUCCUCCAAGUCCUCUGCACUGCUUCAGCUCAAAUCCAGGAAGGACCUUUGCAGGCUCAGGAUGUUCCAGCAGCAUUCUGGUGACGGAUUUUUCUUUUUCUUUCAAAGAUGCAGCUUGGCACAUUUGAUUGCCAACCCUAUCAGUGCUUGGACAGGUCAGAUGCAGAGCUUUCUUCAGCCUGCUCUUUAUUCCAGGAUUACCACCGAGGGCAGCAGCAGCUUGGGCACAUCAGGGAUCCGCAGGUUAAAUAGUGACCAACCCUUACCUUAUAAAGCCUCAUUUAAACCUAGUACUCAGAGGUGCUCAUCCAUGCGAUGUGAGUUGGUUUGCAGAGGCGACCUUUCUUCUGUGGUCUGAUUGAGUAAGUAUUUUCAAAACCAGAUACCUAAGUGGCUUUGUUAGGAGUCAGACAUGCACAUGACUGUAACCUCUGUCUUCU
rnacentral:lncRNA from 1 species